GCAGGUACAGCUCAGUGGUAGAGAGCAUGCUUAGCAUGCACGAGGUCCUGGGUUCAAUCCCCAGUACCUCCA
rnacentral:tRNA from 1 species